GUUCAACAGGAGACGUUUCAGGUGGGAUCAUUUUCCUUCUUACUCAAACAGGUUGAAUCAGACUUAAAACCUGGAAAAUGCAAACAGAAAAGCUUUGUUUAACUGAUAUUAUCUAUAAGAAUCUAACACGUUUCGCUUCAGUAACUAAACUAAUAUUGGCCUCAACGUCUCUGAAGUGUCGUUCGGGUAAACAGGACGUCCCUGUUACUGUGAAACAUAACAAGGAGCUACAGCGACAUCACGGAUCCUUUACAGGAAAUCCUGAGUCGACUGUUCUAACAUGGGUUCUAUGAAACAAAGGCCCUGGUCUCCGUCUUUAUGCAGCCCAGAAAUAAAGAAAUGAAUAAAAAUGACUAAAAGCUUCCCAUAAUAAACCUCUGAAUGACUCAUUCUUUUCUUGGUUCUUCUUCCUCCACGGUUCCCUGCUGUGUUAAACCUUCAAACCACUAGAACCUUCAAAUGAGAUAAAAGGUGAGUUUUAAGUGUGUGUGUUUGAGAUUAUUUACUUUUUAUUAACUGAAUCCACAAUAAAGCCUAAAACAUCAGAGGAGGUUUCAAACCAAUAACGCUUGUUCAGGGCUUCGGCUUUACAUCAUACUAAUGUUCUGCUCAUCCUGUUCACAUUGCAGGAAGUCCAGAAGGUGAGUCUCCAGUCACAUGAACAUCCUCCACAGACACUGUCUCAGUCUCACAUGCUGCACCUGCUGCUUUUCAACCGUGUGAUAAGUUAUGUUUGGUCUGAGUCCCACCAUAAACACCCGGGUGCGUCAAAUGACAAACUGCUCCUUUAAUCAAACACCUUCUUUCUUCUUCCAGUUGUUUUGGACUUUUAAUCCAUUAGAGGCAGAAUUUGUGACCAAUGAACCUCAGUUGUUCACUUUAAUUGUCUAUAUUUCAUAUUAUUUACAAUGAAACGAUGAUAUGACCUAAAACAUCAGAGCAUGUUUUAAGUCAAUACAUGUAUUUGCCAGACUGCAAACAUGAUAAAAGUGACUCCAGCUUGUUGAUUGUUUACUUUUCUCUAAUGUUCUGUUCAUCUUCUUCUUGUUUCACCGCCUCAACCAUCCAGAGGGUGAUUCUUCAAGUGCAGAUGAGUCUUCAGAUGGCAACACUUCUUCAGAUGAGGAUGAGUCUUCAGAUGGUGAUAGUUCUUCAGAUGAAACCACUGACGCCCCUGAAGCCACUGAGGGGCCUGAAGCCGAUGACACCACUGAAGCCGAUGAUGUCGCUGAAGUCGAUGACGUCGCUGAAGUCGAUGACGCAGAUGGCGCUGAUGCUGAUGACACCCCUGAAGCUGAUGACUCCGAUGGUGCUGAUGACACCCCUGAAGCUGAUGACUCCGAUGGUGCUGAUGAUGCUGCUGAUGCCGAUGACACCGCUGAAGCUGAUGACUCCGCUGAUGACUCUGCUGAUGACGCCGCUGAUGACACAGACAACUCAGACAACUGAGACACAGUUGCCGCACCAACUCCCUAAAGAUGCACGAUUAGCAUGGAUGCCUGGAUGCGCGUCCUGA
ensembl:lncRNA